AACGGUUCUUGAAAAUUUAAAUCUUGCCCGUUUGGAACAGGCGGUCAGGCUUUUGCUGGAUUUAUACCGUUCGAUCCGGUAUUCCGUUUCC
rnacentral:tRNA from 1 species